rnacentral:rRNA from 1 species
CACGCAGGCGGUCAUACAAGUCAGCUGUUAAAUGCAUGGGCUUAACCGAUGCAUGCGGUUGAAACUGUAUGGCUAGAGUACUGGAGAGGUAAGCGGAAUUCCCGGUGUAGCGGUGAAGUGCGUAGAUAUCGGGAAGAACACCAGUGGCGAAGGCGGCUUACUGGCCAGUAACUGACGCUGAGGUGCGAAAGCCAGGGGAGCGAACC